rnacentral:rRNA from 1 species
AGAGUUUGAUCAUGGCUCAGAUUGAACGCUGGCGGAAUGCUUUACACAUGCAAGUCGAACGGUAGAGGGGGCAACCCCUUGAGAGUGGCGAACGGGUGAGUAAUAUAUCGGAACGUGCCCAGUCGUGGGGGAUAACGUAGCGAAAGUUACGCUAAUACCGCAUACGAUCUACGGAUGAAAGCGGGGGAUCGCAAGACCUCGCGCGAUUGGAGCGGCCGAUAUCAGAUUAGGUAGUUGGUGGGGUAAAGGCUCACCAAGCCAACGAUCUGUAGCUGGUCUGAGAGGACGACCAGCCACACUGGAACUGAGACACGGUCCAGACUCCUACGGGAGGCAGCAGUGGGGAAUUUUAGACAAUGGACGCAAGUCUGAUCCAGCCAUUCCGCGUGCAGGAUGAAGGCCCUCGGGUUGUAAACUGCUUUUGUACGGAACGAAAAGGUUUCUCUUAAUACGAGGAGCUCAUGACGGUACCGUAAGAAUAAGCACCGGCUAACUACGUGCCAGCAGCCGCGGUAAUACGUAGGGUGCAAGCGUUAAUCGGAAUUACUGGGCGUAAAGCGCGCGCAGGCGGUUAUGUAAGACAGAGGUGAAAUCCCCGGGCUCAACCUGGGAACUGCCUUUGUGACUGCAUAGCUAGAGUACGGUAGAGGGGGAUGGAAUUCCGCGUGUAGCAGUGAAAUGCGUAGAUAUGCGGAGGAACACCGAUGGCGAAGGCAAUCCCCUGGACCUGUACUGACGCUCAUGCACGAAAGCGUGGGGAGCAAACAGGAUUAGAUACCCUGGUAGUCCACGCCCUAAACGAUGUCAACUG